UACGUAGGAGGCAAGCGUUGUCCGGAAUUACUGGGCGUAAAGCGCGUGUAGGUGGUGGGACAAGUCUGCUGUGAAAGCGCCUGGCUUAACCGGGCGAGGUCGGCGGAAACUGUCCGACUAGAGGACGGUAGAGGGGGGGUGGAAUUCCCCGGUGUAGUGGUGAAAUGCGUAGAGAUCGGGAGGAACACCUGUGGCGAAGGCGGCCCCCUGGGCCGGCCCUGACACUGAGACGCGAAGGCGUGGGGGAGCGAACGGG
rnacentral:rRNA from 1 species